rnacentral:lncRNA from 1 species
AACAUAAAAAUAAAAACACAAAAAAAAAUCACAUUAUAAAUCGAACACUGUUUCUGUUAGCGCUUUCACUGCAUCCCUUACAGUUCAUCAGACAGAAUUGUUAUCGUUACUAGUAACAACUUGUGAUGUUACCUAAUAGUAACGUCAUGUGGUAGUUUGUAUAUAUUACGGAAUCUUAUUCACAGACCGAAUUUCACUUCCUAUUAAAAGUCGGCUUAUACAGUUAAAUAAAAUAGCGUUCCUUGGCUUCAAGUGGAAUUUUAUCUUAGGUCCACAUCUGAAACUAGAGGCUCUAAAGAGCCUGUGUUGCUCACCUUGGUCUAUGUGCAUAUCAUAAACGAAGGACACAGCAGAGUGAUG